rnacentral:rRNA from 1 species
AUUGAGCGCUGGCGGCAGGCUUAACACAUGCAAGUCGAGCGGGGUGAUGGUGCUUGCACUAUCACUUAGCGGCGGACGGGUGAGUAAUGCUUAGGAAUCUGCCUAUUAGUGGGGGACAACAUCUCGAAAGGGAUGCUAAUACCGCAUACGUCCUACGGGAGAAAGCAGGGGAUCACUUGUGACCUUGCGCUAAUAGAUGAGCCUAAGUCGGAUUAGCUAGUUGGUGGGGUAAAGGCCUACCAAGGCGACGAUCUGUAGCGGGUCUGAGGGGAUGAUCCGCCACACUGGGACUGAGACACGGCCCAGACUCCUACGGGAGGUAGCAGUGGGGAAUAUUGGACAAUGGGGGGAACCCUGAUCCAGCCAUGCCGCGUGUGUGAAGAAGGCCUUAUGGUUGUAAAGCACUUUAAGCGAGGAGGAGGCUCUUUUGGUUAAUACCCAAGAUGAGUGGACGUUACUCGCAGAAUAAGCACCGGCUAACUCUGUGCCAGCAGCCGCGGUAA